GUCAUGGAAAAUAACUUAUCUGUAUUUUGUAAGAUAAUGUCUAAUGCCCUUAUGCUAUUGUUACGAUUAAGCCAAGAUUCCAUGAACUGUAUCUAUUCCUGAUGAAUAUUCACGAAUUCACCUACCCUAAUCUAGCUACACGUACUCCAUUACCCAGCUGUGAUUUGACGGAAGCAGACGUCCAACAGCUACUAGUAACUAACCAACAGCUACUAGUAACUAACCAACAGCGACUAGUAACUAACCAACAGCGACUAGUAUCUAACCAACAGCGACUAGUAUCUAACCAACAUCUACUAGUAACUAACCAACAUCUACUAGUAACUAACCAACACCGACUAGUAACUAACCAACAUCUACUAGUAACUAACCAACAGCUCCUAGUAACUAACCAACAGCUACUAGUAACUAACCUUUCAACACGUUUGUUUCUACACCGUCAACAGCGAAUUUUAAAUCAUGUCUAAGAAGACAACAUGGAAGCCACCUCGGAUAUUUCUUCCAAGCCGGACAGAAAGGAAAGCGCAGACGAGCGCAGAAGGUACUGCGACAGGUAAACUGAGAAACAAAAAACGUUAUACGAUUGGCAAUGAUCCACACAAGGGGCAGUCAAGCGGU
rnacentral:lncRNA from 1 species